UGCCUGUACCAUAACCGACACAGGUGGGUAGGUAGAGUAUACUAAGGGGCGCGAGAUAACUCUCUCUAAGGAACUCGGCAAAAUGACUCCGUAACUUCGGGAGAAGGAGUGCCUUAUUUAUAAGGUUGCAAUAACAAGAUCCAAGCAACUGUUUAUCAAAAACACAGGUCUCCGCUAAGUCGUAAGACGAUGUAUGGGGGCUGACGCCUGCCCAGUGCCAGAAGGUUAAAGAAGUUGGUUAGUGUAUGCGAAGCUGAUGACUGAAGCCCUGGUGAACGGCGGCCGUAACAAUAACGGUCCUAAGGUAGCGAAAUUCCUUGUCGGGUAAGUUCCGACCCGCACGAAAGGCGUAAUGAUUUGGAUACUGUCUCGGAGAGAGGCUCGGUGAAAUAGACUUGUCUGUGAAGAUGCGGACUACCUGCACCAGGACAGAAAGACCCUAUGAAGCUUUACUGUAACUUGAAAUUGGAAUUGGACUUUGCUUGCGCAGUAUAGGUGGGAAGCGUUGAAGAUAUUCUUGCGGGAGUAUUGGAGCUAUCAGUGAGAUACCACUCUUGUAAUGUUAGAUUUCUAACUUUGAACCAUAAUCUGGUCAAAGAACAGUUUCAGGUGGGCAGUUUGACUGGGGCGGUCGCCUCCCAAAUGGUAACGGAGGCGUACAAAGGUUUCCUCUGAACGGAUAGAAAUCGUAUCUAGAGUGUAAAGGCAUAAGGAAGCUUGACUGUGAGACCUACAAGUCGAGCAGGGACGAAAGUCGGUCUUAGUGAUCUGACGGUACUGAGUGGAAAGGCCGUCACUCAACGGAUAAAAGUUACUCUAAGGAUAACAGGCUGAUCUCCCCCAAGAGUUCACAUCGACGGGGAGGUUUGGCACCUCGAUGUCGGCUCAUCGCAUCCUGGGGCGGUAGUACGUCCCAAGGGUUGGGCUGUUCGCCCAUGAAAGCGGUACGCGAGCUGGGUUCAGAACGUCGUGAGACAGUUCGGUCCAUAUCCGGUGUAGGCGUUAGAAUAUUGAGAGGAGCCUUCUUUAGUACGAGAGGACCGAGAAGGACACACCGCUGGUGUACCAGUUAUCGUGCCAACGGUAAACGCUGGGUAGCUAUGUGUGGAGUGGAUAACCGCUGAAAGCAUCUAAGUGGGAAGCCCACCUCAAGAUGAUUGCUCUCACAGGGUUAACCUGGUAAGGUCACGGGAAGACCACCCGUUGAUAGGCACUCGGUGGAAGU
rnacentral:rRNA from 1 species